rnacentral:rRNA from 1 species
UGCCCUAGUAACGGCGAGUGAAGCGGCAACAGCUCAAAUUUGAAAUCUGGCGUCUUUGGCGUCCGAGUUGUAAUUUGCAGAGGGCGCUUUGGCAUUGGCAGCGGUCCAAGUUCCUUGGAACAGGACGUCACAGAGGGUGAGAAUCCCGUACGUGGUCGCUAGCCUUUACCGUGUAAAGCCCCUUCGACGAGUCGAGUUGUUUGGGAAUGCAGCUCUAAAUGGGAGGUAAAUUUCUUCUAAAGCUAAAUACUGGCCAGAGACCGAUAGCGCACAAGUAGAGUGAUCGAAAGAUGAAAAGCACUUUGGAAAGAGAGUUAAAAAGCACGUGAAAUUGUUGAAAGGGAAGCGCUUGCAGCCAGACUUGCCUGUAGUUGCUCAUCCGGGUUUCUACCCGGUGCACUCUUCUAUAGGCAGGCCAGCAUCAGUUUGGGCGGUUGGAUAAAGGUCUCUGUCAUGUAACUCUCUUCGGGGAGAACUUAUAGGGGAGACGACAUGCAACCAGCCUGGACUGAGGUCCGCGCAUCUGCUAGGAUGCUGGCGUAAUGGCUGUAAGCGGCCCGUCUUGAAACACGGACCAAGGAGUCUAACAUCUAUGCGAGUGUUUGGGUGUCAAGCCCGAGCGCGUAAUGAAAGUGAACGGAGGUGGGAACCUUUCGGGGUGCACCAUCGACCGAUCCUGAUGUCUUCGGAUGGAUUUGAGUAAGAGCAUAGCUGUUGGGACCCGAAAGAUGGUGAACUAUGCUUGAAUAGGGUGAAGCCAGAGGAAACUCUGGUGGAGGCUCGCAGCGGUUCUGACGUGCAAAUCGAUCGUCAAAUUUGGGCAUAGGGGCGAAAGACUAAUCGAACUAUCUAGUAGCUGGUUCCUGCCGAAGUUUCCCUCAAGGAAAAAAAACC